rnacentral:rRNA from 1 species
AACGCGAAGAACCUUACCUGGGCUUGAACUACGGAUGGUAAGUCCCUGGAAACAGGGGCUGACCCGCAAGGGAGUCCGCAGAGGUGCUGCAUGGUUGUCGUCAGCUCGUGUCGUGAGAUGUUGGGUUAAGUCCCGCAACGAGCGCAACCCCUAUUCGAUGUUGCUAAUCCCGCAAGGGAUGCACUCUUCGAAAACUGCCUUCGAUAAGAAGGAGGAAGGUGGGGACGACGUCAAAUCCUCAUGGCCCUUAUGUCCAGGGCUACACACGUGUUACAAUGGCCGGUACAAUGGGAAGCAAUGCCGCAAGGUGGAGCCAAACCCACAAAGCCGGCCCCAGUUCAGAUUGUGGGCUGCAACUCGCCCACAUGAAGGCGGAAUCGCUAGUAAUCGCUGAUCAGCAGGCAGCGGUGAAUACGUUCCCGGGCCUUGUACACACCGGCUAC